ACUCCUACGGGAGGCAGCAGUGAGGAAUAUUGGUCAAUGGGCGAGAGCCUGAACCAGCCAAGUCGCGUGAAGGAUGACUGUCUUAUGGAUUGUAAACUUCUUUUAUACGGGAAUAACAAGAGCCACGUGUGACUCCCUGCAUGUACCGUAUGAAUAAGCAUCGGCUAACUCCGUGCCAGCAGCCGCGGUAAUACGGAGGAUGCGAGCGUUAUCCGGAUUUAUUGGGUUUAAAGGGUGCGUAGGCGGCCUGUUAAGUCAGCGGUGAAAUCUAGGAGCUUAACUCCUAAAUUGCCAUUGAUACUGGCGGGCUUGAGUGUAGAUGAGGUAGGCGGAAUGCGUGGUGUAGCGGUGGAAUGCAUAGAUAUCACGCAGAACUCCGAUUGCGAAGGCAGCUUACUAAGGUACAACUGACGCUGAAGCACGAAAGCGUGGGUAUCAAACAGGAUUAGAUACCCUGGUAGGCGUAAU
rnacentral:rRNA from 1 species